ACAAAGCACCUCAAAGGCAUCAAAAAUUACUGUUGGCUCUCAGCAUCUAUUUGCUCCCUCAAGGCAUCCCUAAUCCUUACAGCCCUAUGCUGGGUCCCUCUAAUAGUCCUGGUCUCUGGCUGUUC